CUAAGGUGUGAUCUCAGGUGAAAGGAUGCAUUCGUGGUGAUUAGAGAUAUAACAGUAUAUCAAUACUGUGACAGAACUGUCAGGGUCUGAAAUGAAAGGUGGGUUUUUUUUCAAAAACUAUGAAGUUCCACACUGCACAGAAAAGGAAGGGUGCUGCAAAGAAGGAGGAGACACGAGCAGAGAUGUCAGCUCUCCCAAGUACUACUGGAAGACACAAGGCCCUGGAAGAAACCUGGAAGUUCCACCAUUAUCCUGAACACAUCAUAUGAUUGUGAAAACUGUAACAACAGCAAGGGUGCACUGAAGCCUCUCCAUUUCAAAGCACCACGGCCAAGACUUAUGCUUCUAAUGAUACCACAUGAAAAGUGAACAAAGCUUACUUAAAACACAGCUGAGCUGUGAAAAGGAUAACCUCCACAUAAGGAACUAUUUUGAUGGACAAUCUCAGAUUAAAACCAACAUUUAAAAAAAAGCCAACAACAAAACACACUUCCAGUAACUGCACCCUGUGUGCGUUCACAGGAAGAUGACUUUGAAGAGAAGAGGAAGACUGAAGAUGGCUUUGUCCUGUUUCCUAAAAAAGUAAUGCAUAUGAAAAAAAGUACAAAAAUAGUAAAAAUCAUUGUGUUCUUCCCAGCCCAGGAAAAACCCUCUUUUAUGCUCAAGAAUAUUUCUAGUGCCUGCAAAGGGCACAAUUUAGCACCUACCCCAUCUUUAGUUUGCCAGUAACAAUAAAGAAGCCCCUGACCAAAGCGUGCUGCAGCAGAUGAGCUCAUUCUUAGUGGCAGAACCUCUAGCAUAAAGCUCCCCACAGUCACUGCUACAGAUUGCUUCAAAACAAAUCCUGCACCUUGCAGAUCUCUGAACUACGAGCACUUAAUAAAGUCUCCACGUGAAAGCUAUGGAAAAAUACAUGACACAACACUUAAGAAUCAAAUAACUUAAAAUGGCUUUGCAGGGAUAAGGGAUGCUCACACACAGUACAAGAAAAACUGAAGUCCAUACAAACCUAUCUGCUUAUCAUAGUUACACAAACUCAAGGACUAUAACUGAAAUCAUAAAACUGUAGCUGGUGAUAUUUAACUUCUAAAUGCUUGAGAGAUGGAAGUAAUAUUAUCACUUAGUUUUACUAAGUAGCAGUAUUUUAAAACAAGAAUACUUGUAGAAUCUGCCUCCACCCUUCCCCAAAGAACAGCGAAUGUUAAUCUAUGUUAAUGAGCCAUCUUUCAUAAGUUAUCACUGCGAAGUCUUUCAGUUCUACAAGUACUUAUGAAUUUGAAUCAGACACACUGACAACAUUAGAUGAUAAACUGUUUCAGGACCAUUCCAUUCAAAAGAAAAAAAAAAAGCAACUCAAUCAGCUUUGGCUUCUCAUUGCUGAGCUUUCCAUCAUACAGAGAUACUCUCCACACCCACGACAACCUGAGACUGACCAGAUCCUUACACUACAGCAUGUCCUUGCAGGUGCAAUUCUUCCUCAAUGAGGAUUAUGGAGUGUUGCCACAGCAAUGGUAGUGUUUACUAAAUCUCCAAAAGGGAGAAAAACAAAAAACAAAAGAGCCACCACCAUCAAAUGUUUGUUUUCAUUCUAAGAUCUCUUCUUUGGAAUAUAGUUUUCUCAAAAGGAAGCAGAAAACAAUAUGCUACCCCAAGGGAGGAAGAGUCAAAAUGGAAAUGAAGAGCCAUGGUGACAUCCUGCUUUAUAACACUGCUAAUAUACAAUCACCAUGAACAAGGAUCUCAGCACUACAAUUUACCCAAAAAUCCGUAGGAAAAGGCUACAGAGAAGUUUUACAAUCAUCACCCAAAAAAACAGACUGUCCACCUCUCCACACAAACUCCAUAAAUGCUUUUAGAAUGUUCUGCAAGAGAAACAGUACCUUAACGUUUGCAAUCCUUCACUGCAUACCACUCGGAUUCACAGUACAGAAAGUUACCAAUGGAAAAACAUCAUUUUACCAAAAGUACCUUUUCACCUCCAAUUUGAAAUCUCAACCCUUCUUUACAAAACAGUUUAGAAAGAAUUUCUGAGGCAAACUGCUCAACUGUGCUGGAACAGCCCUUGCUCACGCAGCGCCUUGGAGCGCACUGCAGCAGCACCCAGAACAGUGCUGGGCUCCAGGCUCUGCAAUAUGACCUCAGAACUACACCUGCUGUCGUGCCCCUUGGAAGUUGAGUUCCUGCAGGCUCUGCACCAUGUCAGAGAAGGAAAGCUGUUCUUCAGGACACUCUCAGGAAGUUCACAGGAAAUAAAAGCAGCAGUAGCUUGAAAUUUUUUUUAGCAAAUUGAAACAAAAAUAAAGAUUUAUGUACGUUUAU